rnacentral:misc_RNA from 1 species
UCAAACUUGGUCAUUUAGAGGAAGUAAAAGUCGUAACAAGGUUUCCGUAGGUGAACCUGCGGAAGGAUCAUUAUCGAGUUUGAAGUGGGUCUUUGAGCUGGCUUUUCACGAAGCACCGUGCUCGGGCCCCGCUCCAUCCACUCAACCCCUGUGCACUUUCGAUGGCGUGGUCUCGUUGAGUGAUGUUCCAUUCAUUUGGACAUCGGAGGUCGCGACGUCGUCUCAUCACAAACUUAUUACAAUAGUCUUGUCGAACGUGGAUGCUCGUAAGGGCGGAAACACAAUACAACUUUCAACAACGGAUCUCUUGGCUCUCGCAUCGAUGAAGAACGCAGC